rnacentral:rRNA from 1 species
CCUACGGGUGGCAGCAGUGGGGAAUAUUGCGCAAUGGGCGAAAGCCUGACGCAGCGACGCCGCGUGAGGGAUGAAGGUCUUCGGAUCGUAAAGCUCUGUCAGCAGGGAAGAACGGUCACUGUGCUAAUCAGCAGUGAAUUGACGGUACCUGCAAAGGAAGCACCGGCUAACUCCGUGCCAGCAGCCGCGGUAAUACGGAGGGUGCGAGCGUUAAUCGGAAUUACUGGGCGUAAAGCGCACGUAGGCGGUAUGUCAAGUCAAGGGUGAAAUCCCCGGGCUCAACGUGGGAACUGCCUUUGAAACUGGCAAACUAGAGUGUGUGAGAGGAUAGUAGAAUUCCAGGUGUAGAGGUGAAAUGCGUAGAUAUCUGGAGGAACAUCGGUGGCGAAGGCGGCUAUCUGGCACAAAACUGACGCUGAGGAGCGAAAGCGUGGGUAGCAAACAGGAUUAGAUACCCCUGUAGUC